rnacentral:lncRNA from 1 species
GGAAGUCUCGAGAGGAGCCGACUAUGAGGGUCCCAGCGUGUGGGACAAGUCGCGGGCGUGCGCGGAUGUUGUCGCAGGCAUUCAGCGGGAUCCGCUCAGCGCCAAAGUUGCCGCGCGGAUGGGGACGUCCUGAUAGGAGAGCUCUGAGAAGUGUGGGACUGAAAAAACGUUGAGGACCUUUGCACUGUGCUAGGGGCCUCCAAGGUUAAAUAGGAUGUGAUUUGUGUUCCUGGGGCUUAAGGACAGUGUAGAAGAAUACGUAGGCUUACGUAGGUCCAAGCCUAAGUCCUUAAGCAGGCAGUGCCUCGCUUUAUGACAUAGGUGGAUGCUAACCAAGGUCGUAUAGUUUUAAAGCUGGAACUGAAUUCAUUAUCUUCCCCAGCUCCCACCCCGCUUCUUCGUUCAGUAAAUGCACCAGCAUCGGAGAAUGAGUUUUUGGAGACUGAAAUCUGCCCAGAGCCUAUGGAGUAGAGGAGAAGAUCACUAAACCAGUGGCUUUCACACUUCGGUGACUGUGACCAGUGGUGAUCCUUGAUAUCUCCUAUGGCAUCUGUUGGCAGAAAUACACUUGCCGUGGGAAUGAUAUGGAGCCAGGAAGUAGCAGCAGUUUGUCCCUCAGCGGAGUUGGGAGCUUCACGGAUCCAUUUCCACCCCCCCUGCUCUUAUGGGAUCAGUAGUCAUCAGAGACCUCCGCCUCACAGUAUGACAAACCUUCCAGAGUAA